GAGAUUUCGGAUCAAGUCGCGGGUGAAGGAGACGGAGUAACGAGUUGGAUUAAGACCAUAUCCCUAUCCAUUAGCCCAUAAUUCAUAGUUGAAUGUGAAAACUACAGACAAACCCAUUUCACAGAUUUUUUCCACUGUGAAAUCCACGCUCAAAAUUCUUCAGACGCGCAUCCGUUUUCGGUGAAAAUAUUUCUCCUAAGCCCAUAAUUUAUAAAAUUAGGUUUCAGUUUUUUCUGUUCUUCUAACCUUCGAUUAAAUUCGCAGACCAGACGAGGUGGAGGACCACGACGACCAAAACCAUCAAUCUCUCAUAUGCCACCAAAAAGGGUUGGAUAUCUCUCUCUUCACCAAACCCUAUUAAUGAAUUUCUCAAUCAGUUUAAUCAAAAUUCCAGAAAUACAGGGAAGAAUCAAUUGGAAGCAACGAAUCGGCAACAAAACAAUGGUGGACGUGAACUGAAAUACAGGGAAGAAUCAACUGGAAACAACGAAUCAGCAACAAAACAAUGGUGAUGGAUCUGUGGUGGUCAAAGAAAUGGAGUCUGGGUUCGAGUUGAUGUUGAUUUUCAAGGGUUCGGUGGAAUUUGAAGUGAGAAAAGAAGAAACUGAAUCUGUUGAACAGAGAUUGAGAUUUAAAUGAGUUCGAAAUCUAGAGAUUCAGAAAUUAGGGUUUGCUGUGAUUCAGACUCUGUUGGCAGUGAAACAUUGGAAAUAGAGGUUUGAUGUUGAUGAAGAAACUGAGCUGGUGGUGUUCUUGAGCAGUGAAGUUGGUAUUGAGAUUAAUGGGUUUAUGGAGAAGACUCAUGUGCACAACGUGAUGUUGUUGCCAUCAAAGAACAAGAAGAGGAAAUCAGUGGUAGAAUUGAUAUGGGUUUUCUGAGAAAGAUCGAUAGAUGGGUUUGGUGAAGAACGACACUGUGAUAUGGAGAAGAUGGGUGCUGCUCGAUCGAACUGACGCUGAUGAGCUGCUGUUGUGAAUUGUGAAACCAGAUGAAGAAAUUGAAAUUUAUACAUGGAAGAAUCAAUUGGAAGCAAUGAAUCGGCAACAAAACAAUGGUGGACGUCAACUGAAGUACGGGGAAGAAUCAAUUGGAAGCAACGAAUCGGCAACAAAAUAAUUGUGUCUGGAGGUCCAGGAUGGGAAGUUCUGAAAGGAAGAAAAGGUGGAAAAAUUCCCAAGGCAUCAGAAUCUACCGCAAUUAUAAUGAUUCAUAAUUGAUUUUCUAUCAAAAGCAACCUUAAUUGGAUUCAUGGUCGGUGCUGCAAUAAUAGUUUCUCUGCAACAACUCAAGGACCUUCUUGGGAUUGUAAAUUUUACCAAACAAAUGGUGUCAUUGCUGUUUUGAGCUCUGUUUUUCAACAUUCUGAACAAUGGGUAAAGAGCUGAAUACAAAUGUGACAAGUUACUUGUGAUAAUCUAUAGUAACAGUUAAGAUCAAAAUCAAAAGUAGAGCUGCUUUACUUUUC